GAACCUUUUGCAGUUAGUGCUGGGGCUGAUCUUGAAAGGGCUGUGCACCCCACACAUGCCUGGGAGUUUGUUCGUAAGGUCAUAGUUGAUGCCAGAAAUGCUGGCAGCUAAUGCCUUGACGCAGUUGCAAGCUGAUUGGCGCUCUGGAGUUGAUUGGGCAGCCGCGUUGAGAGAUCUGAUCCCAUUGCAGCAAGGUGCAGGCACGCCACCAGCACCGUUGUUUCUCACGUAAGGAAUGCAGGGUGCCAAGGCUGAUAUGACUUGGCCACAACUUAUGGCCCCUUCAGCCAGGGGUGCACCCACAACCAAGCACAAGACCACACCACAUGCAAGCUUGAGGGCCACAGUGCUAGCCAUAUGAUUCACUAAUUAGAAGAAAUCAAACAAUUUUAUAUAACU
rnacentral:lncRNA from 1 species